GACGAACGCUGGCGGCGUGCUUAACACAUGCAAGUCGAACGGAAAGGCCCAGCCUUUGUGGGGUGCUCGAGUGGCGAACGGGUGAGUAACACGUGAGUAACCUGCCCUUGACUUUGGGAUAACUUCAGGAAACUGGGGCUAAUACCGGAUAGGAGCUCCUGCUGCAUGGUGGGGGUUGGAAAGUUUCGGCGGUUGGGGAUGGACGCGCGGCUUCUCCGCUUGUUGGUGGGGUAGUGGCAUACCAAGGCUUUGACGGGUCGCCGGCCUGAGAGUGUGACCGGCCACAUUGGGACUGAGAUACGGCACAGACUCCUACGGGAGACAGCAGGGGGGAAUAGUGCACAGUGGGCGGAAGCCUGAUGCAGCAGCGCCGCGUGCGGUAUGACGGCUUUCGGUUUGUAAACCGCUUUCGCCUGUGACGAAGCGUUAGUGACGGUAAUGGGUAAAGAAGCACCGGCUAACUACGUG
rnacentral:rRNA from 1 species